rnacentral:rRNA from 1 species
AGGUGUUCGCAUCGGGCGCAUGCCUCGACGCCGCAACGCCGCGUGGGUGAUGAAGGUCUUCGGGUGUAAACUCGUUUCGGCGGGACGAAAAGCCCGUGCUAAAAGUCGGGGGGGGCCGGUUCCCUUCGAAGGGGC